GAUGAACGCUGGCGGCGUGCCUAAUACAUGCAAGUCGAGCGAACGGACGAGAAGCUUGCUUCUCUGAUGUUAGCGGCGGACGGGUGAGUAACACGUGGAGAACCUACCUAUAAGACUGGGAUAACUUCGGGAAACCGGAGCUAAUACCGGAUAAUAUUUUGAACCGCAUGGUUCAAAAGUGAAAGACGGUCUUGCUGUCACUUAUAGAUGGAUCCGCGCUGCAUUAGCUAGUUGGUAAGGUAACGGCUUACCAAGGCAACGAUGCAUAGCCGACCUGAGAGGUUGAUCGCCCACACUGGAACUGAGACGCGGUCCAGCCUCCUACGGGAGGCAGCAGUAGGGAAUCUUCCGCAAUGGGCGAAAGCCUGACGGAGCAACGCCGCGUGAGUGAUGAAGGUCUUCGGAUCGUAAAACUCUGUUAUUAGGGAAGAACAUAUGUGUAAGUAACUGUGCACAUCUUGACGGUACCUAAUCAGAAAGCCACGGCUAACUACGUG
rnacentral:rRNA from 1 species